AGAACGAACGCUGGCGGCAUGCCUAAUACAUGCAAGUCGAACGAACACUUCGGUGUUAGUGGCGCACGGGUGCGUAACGCGUGGGAAUCUGCCCUUGGGUUCGGAAUAACAGUUGGAAACGACUGCUAAUACCGGAUGAUAUCGAAAGAUCAAAGAUUUAUCGCCCAGGGAUGAGCCCGCGUAGGAUUAGCUAGUUGGUGAGGUAAAGGCUCACCAAGGCGACGAUCCUUAGCUGGUCUGAGAGGAUGAUCAGCCACACUGGGACUGAGACACGGCCCAGACUCCUACGGGAGCAGCAGUAGGGAAUAUUGGACAAUGGGCGCAAGCCUGAUCCAGCAAUGCCGCGUGAGUGAUGAAGGCCUUAGGGUUGUAAAGCUCUUUACCCGAGAUGAUAAUGACAGUAUCGGAGAACUAAGCCCCGAUAACGUCCGCGCCAGCAGCCGAC
rnacentral:rRNA from 1 species